CAUAUUCCUUCUGACCCCACAGCUCGGCCCCAGCUGUUCCCAUUAUCGGCCCCAUGUUCAUCCGACCCCAUUUCAUUGGGUUGCCUGGUUUCCCCUUCGGUUCCGUCCUCCAUCACUUGGUCCGGCCCGAGAGGAUCCGAACCGGGAUCCGCCAUCUUGGAUCCGCAAAGGAAACUGGGAUUUAUCCGACUUCGGGAUGGAGAUAAAGGGGAGAAGUUCGAAUGUCGGGUCACAGCGCCCCCUAGCGGGGAGGUCUUAAGGAAGGAGGUGCCUGCCUGUCUGGGCUCAUCUCUCACCCCAUUGGCUCCCGAGGUUCAGCUGGUCCACUCCUCUUCCUGUUCGCCGUCCAAUAGGGAGACAGUCGAGUUAAUCUGCCUAGUAACAGGCUUCUCCCCACCGGAGCUGCAAAUUGAUUGGCUGAUCGACGGCCGAAAGGCGGGGCCGACGUUUCCCGCCAUCCGCGGACCAAUGGUGAGAGAGGAAGGAGAAUCGACCUAUAGCGUGACGAGUCGGGUCAACGUGUCGAAAUCUGAUUGGUCGGAAGGGAAAAGCUUCACUUGUCAAGUGAAACAUCCCGGAACAGGAAGUGUGGUGGAAGAUCACGUGAGAGGAUGUGAAGGUACGGACGCCAUCUUGGAUAGUGGCACAUAGGGAUAUAUAGGGACC